GGCUUGUUGAUUUUAAUUUCAAGUCUGACCUGCCCGAUGAGUUAUUGAAUGGCCGCGGUAUAUUGACUGUGCAAAGGUAGCAUAAUCAUUAGUUUUUUAAUUGAAAGCUUGUAUGAAAGGUUUGAUGAGAGAAUUACUGUCUCUGUAAAAACUUAUUGGAAUUUUAUUUUUAAGUGAAAAAGCUUAAAUAUUUAUAGAAGACGAGAAGACCCUAUAGAGUUUUAUAUUAAUAUGAAAAGCUGUGCGUAUAAGAAUUUAAAGUUCAGGGUUUUAGUGGUAUUUUAUUGGGGUGAUUGAAAAAUUUAAUAAACUUUUUUUAUUUUAAGACAUUUAUUUAUGGGUUUAUGAUCCUGGAUUUAGAUUAAAAGAUUAAAUUACCUUAGGGAUAACAGCGUAAUCUUUUUUAGAGUUCUUAUCAAAUAAAAGGAUUGCGACCUCGAUGUUGGAUUAAAAUUUAUUAUUGGUGCAGAAGCUAAUAAAUUCGGUCUGUUCGACCUUUAAAAUUUUACAUGAUCUGAGUUUAAACCGGCGUGAG
rnacentral:rRNA from 1 species